rnacentral:rRNA from 1 species
ACAUGCAGUCGAGGGGCAGCACUGUGUAGCAAUACUCUGAGUGGCGACCGGCGCGCGGCCGAUUAUCGCGUCUGCCACCUACCUUCCGAGGGCGGAUAGCCUUCCUUUUGGGAGAUUAAUACCGCAUGAAACGGGGGCCCCGGAUGGGGAUAUUUGUUAGAGAUUUAUCGGUGGAAGAUGGGCAUGCGUUCCAUUAGCUAGUUGGGGGGGUAACGGGCCACGAAGGCAACGAUGGAUAGGGGAACUGAUAGGUUUAUCCCCCACACUGGGACUGAGACACGGCCCAGACUCCUACGGGAGGCAGCAUAUGAGGAAUAUUGGUGCAAUGGGCGGGAGCCUGAACCAGCCUAGUCGCGUGGAGGACGACGGUUGUAUGGAUUGUAAACUCCUUUUGCACUGGGGUCAAACGCGGGACGUGUACCGUCUUGCUAGUACAGUGCGAAUGAUCAUCCGCUAACUCCGUGCCAGCUGCCGCGGAAAUACGGAGGAUGCCAGCGAUAUCCGGAGUUAUUGGGUUUCAAGGGUGCGUAUGCGGCCCCUUGAGUCAGCCGUGAAACUUCUGCGCUCAACUGCCUCGUGCCGUUGAAACUGGGGGGCUUGAGUCUAGAUGAAGUGGGCGGAAUGUGUAGUGUAACGGCGAAUGCUUUAAUAUUACAACGAAAUCCCAGUGGGCUGGCCGCUCACUAAUCUAUCCCUGAGGCUGAAACACGAAAGCGUGGGGAUGAAAAAAGAAUCAAUAACCCUGCGGUGCCCACAAUAAAAAAUGAUUUUUCGUCUUUCUUGGAUAUACAAAAAGGGGCCCAAGGGAAAACGUUUACCGAGUCCCCUGGGGGGGUACCCCGGGGAAAGGCGAAAC